GUUCUUAAGAUAAAAAAGGUGACUCCAUCCAAAGGCCAUGAAGUCUUACAGCUGUACUACUGCUACUUACAUCAGAAACAAGCACUACUUUGGAGUGUGGGAAAAGAUUUGGGCGGCAGAAGCUCUUAGAAUCAAAUCAAAUCCAUCUCUGAGGCUCCCUCUCUCCCAAAUGGCAAGAAAAUCCAAUCUCAGCCAUGAUGGAGAGGGGCAUGAGGGUGGAAUUCUCCUCCUCUUUCUCUUUCUCUAGGGCCAUAUAGCAAAUUGAUUUUAGUUUUAAAGGGAAAUUUCAGAUUUGGGUCUAGGCUAUCCAUUCAACUCACCAGAAAAGCAAUGGAGACAAGGACUCAAGGUUGUACUACUGGCCAGGAAUGAAGUGAAGUCAGUGCACUUGGCUGCUGCAUUCCCUGAGGUGUGUCUCUUGGAAUUUGGUGGUGUCUUCAAGCUCCUGGAUCUGCCUCUCUCCAACAUCUGCCUGCUGUCCCAUAUAUACUAAAAUAUAGACAAAAUUAAACAUGCUUAAAGAAAUCUUCUGCAUUUCUAUGGCGGUGAUGCUGACGGAAGUCUUGAGGAGGCCCAGGAACUGCUGGGUUGUUCUUCCUAAGUAUUCGCAGAAGGAGUGAAGGUGACUACUGCAUUCAGAGGCAGUUAAUUUCCUAAGUGCAAGGCUUUAUUCAUUUUGAAGAGAACUUGGAUUGGCUGGUGUUCCAGAAACUGCAACAAAGAAACUCAGACAAAGAAGACACGAGAAAAAUUCAAGCAGCUCCUCUCCAUGCUUCAUAAGUGAUCAGCAGAACUCUAACCACAGACCAGGUGUUUCCGGCUCGCGUUUUUCUGCCUGACAGACCCCUGCAAAGGAUCUGUCUCUGGUCACGACCAGGACCUAGUGACUGAAGGCAGAAGAAUUUCACCUAUUCCCAAGUGUGGGCAAGACACUGGAAAAAGUGUGCAUCAAUCAUCAAGAGUCCAAAUGCAGCUUCAACAGCAUGUGACUGGCUGCAAACCAAAUAAGGACAUUUGAAGAAGGAAUGGAAGUCCUGAUGUUGUCUGAAAUGGAUCAAGGAAGCACCAACAUCAGCAUUUGCCAACAGAGCGUCAGUCCCUUGGAAUAAAAUUCCAUAGUCAGUAGCAGAGCACUCUUUCAAGUUCUAUUCAAGAUAUAUAUUAUCCUUCAAUAAAAUAG